rnacentral:rRNA from 1 species
CACGUAGGGUGCGAGCGUUGUCCGGAAUUAUUGGGCGUAAAGAGCUCGUAGGCGGUGUGUCGCGUCGGCCGUGAAAACCUGCAGCUUAACUGUGGGCGUGCGGUCGAUACGGGCAUCACUGGAGUUCGGCAGGGGAGACUGGAAUUCCUGGUGUAGCGGUGAAAUGCGCAGAUAUCAGGAGGAACACCGAUGGCGAAGGCAGGUCUCUGGGCAUUAACUGACGCUGAGGAGCGAAAGCUAGGGGAGCAAACGGG